rnacentral:rRNA from 1 species
ACGCUGGCGGCGUGCCUAACACAUGCAAGUCGAACGGAGAUUACGGACGGAAGUUUUCGGAUGGAAGACUGUAAUUCUUAGUGGCGGACGGGUGAGUAACGCGUGGGCAACCUGCCCUAUACAGGGGGAUAGCAGCUGGAAACGGCUGGUAAGACCGCAUAAGUCGGCGAAACCGCAUGGUUUUGCCGGGAAAUGAGCAAUCAGGUAUAGGAUGGGCCCGCGUCCGAUUAGCCAGUUGGCAGGGUAAAAGCCUACCAAAGCAACGAUCGGUAGCCGGACUGAGAGGUCGGACGGCCACAUUGGGACUGAGACACGGCCCAAACUCCUACGGGAGGCAGCAGUGGGGGAUAUUGCACAAUGGAGGAAACUCUGAUGCAGCGACGCCGCGUGAGUGAAGAAGUAUUUCGGUAUGUAAAGCUCUAUCAGCAGGGAAGAUGAUGACGGUACCUGACUAAGAAGCCCCGGCUAACUACGUGCCAGCAGCCGCGGUAAUACGUAGGGGGCAAGCGUUAUCCGGAUUUACUGGGUGUAAAGGGAGCGCAGGCGGUUUGGCAAGUUGAGAGUGGAAGCAGGGGGCUCAACCCCCUGACUGCUCCCAAAACUGUUAAACUUGAGUAUGGGAGAGGCAGGCGGAAUUCCUAGUGUAGCGGUGAAAUGCUUAGAUAUUAGGAAGAACACCGGUGGCGAAGGCGGCCUGCUGGACCAAAACUGACGCUGAGGCUCGAAAGCGUGGGUAGCAAACAGGAUUAGAUACCCUGGUAGUCCACGCUGUAAACGAUGAAUACUAGGUGCUGGGAGGCAUAAGCCUUUCGGUGCCGUCGCAAACGCAUUAAGUAUUCCACCUGGGGAGUACGUUCGCAAGAAUGAAACUCAAAGGAAUUGACGGGGACCCGCACAAGCGGUGGAGCAUGUGGUUGAA